CCAGACUCCUACGGGAGGCAGCAGUGGGGAAUAUUGCACAAUGGGGGAAACCCUGAUGCAGCAACGCCGCGUGAGUGAGGAAGUAUUUCGGUAUGUAAAGCUCUAUCAGCAGGGAAUAGAAAAGAAGGUACCUGAAAAAGAAGCCCCGGCUAACUACGUGCCAGCAGCCGCGGUAAUACGUAGGGGGCAAGCGUUAUCCGGAUUCACUGGGUGUAAAGGGAGCGUAGACGGCCAUGCAAGCCAGGGGUGAAAGCCCGGGGCCCAACCCCGGGACUGCCCUUGGAACUGCAUGGCUGGAGUGCGGGAGGGGCAGGCGGAAUUCCUGGUGUAGCGGUGAAAUGCGUAGAUAUCAGGAGGAACACCGGCGGCGAAGGCGGCCUGCUGGACUGCAACUGACGUUGAGGCCCGAAAGCGUGGGGAGCAAACAGGAUUAGAUACCCUUGUA
rnacentral:rRNA from 1 species